GUAGCUGCAGCGGUUGUAGGUGCAGCAGUUGUAGGGGCUGCUGUUGUUGGUGCAGCAGAUGUAGGUGCUGCUGUUGUUGCUGCAGCUGUCAUAGGUGCUGCUGACGUAGUUGUGGC